CCAGAACACGAUGGAAUGCAGGAGGAGGAAUUAUAAGAGCGGGGAUUCCAGACAGAUCAGAGAUAUUUCUGCAGACUAUUUGGAAGUCCUGUUUCUUCCACAGAAUCAAUCCAAUCCAUCUGUUAUCCAAGUUUAGCAACUAGCACGGCCUUCCUGAAUACCAAGGGAAGAUCCAAUAAAGCACCAUGGCUUCUUCAUUUCUGGCAAGAGAGCGAAAUUCCCAGAAGUCAGAUGAAGUGGGAGUUUCUACCCAUGCUAAGCUAUAAACUAGUAGCUCAAUGCAGCAGUGCAAAACUACAAUUACAACAUUUUCUUUGAAGCAAAACAUGAGCCAAAAAUUAAUCCUUGCAGCUUCCUAGAUCACCUGUAUUGUGUCUUUAGCCUGCAGAUGCAGGCUCGGGACGUUGCAAGGGUCCCGGGCUUGCAAAAGCUGCCCGGGACCAGACUGAGUGGCGCCGGCUUUGCGCGCGUGCGCAAGGCACGAAAAGGGCCUUAUUAUGUAACCAUGUUGUCUGGGAUCUGGGCAUAUAAAAGGAGGCCUGCAUGCCUCUGCUCGUUGUUGGAGUUUUGACUGAAGCAAUAAAGAGAGUUGUUCUACAGAGAUGUGUCCUCUUUCUUCGCCUUCAUUUCAAGGACUUAACACUGGUGAUGAAGGUGGGAUACUUCAAAAGAUAAACAAAAGGAAGCUAUAAGACUCACCCCAAAGAAGUCCUGCAGAGGGAAAACGGCGUUAACAUCAGCAGCCAUCCUGCCAUUAGAGCAUUGCUGGAGGGUGAGUUCAGCUGAAAGACCCUUUCCUUGAAGAAAUGAGUGGUGAAGCGCAAGCCACAAUGGCAAAGAUCGGCCGCUUAUCUGAAUUCGAUGUCUCACACCCGGAAAGAUGGGAGUCAUAUGUUGCGAGGGUGGAGACUUACUUCAGAGUCAACCAAAUUUGUGACGAUGGUCUUAAGGCUGCCACUUUGUUGUGUGUAUGCGGUCAAGAGACUUUUGAGAUUGCUGAAAACCUAGUGGCCCCUGCCUCUCUGGAAGGUGUAACAUACACAGAUUUAAAGAAGCUUCUAAAAGAGCACUUCCAGCCCAAGUUGUCUGUCAUUGCAUGGAGACACACAUUUGAACAGAGGGAUCAGAAGGCAGGCAAAUCUGCAAAGGACUUUAUUGCGGCCUUGAGAAGAGCAGCUAGACCAUGUGAGUUUAAAGACUUAGAAGAAAGGCUGCGCGACCAUUUUGUUUGCGGGCUGAGGAAUAGAGACUUACAGCAAAAGAUAUUUGCUAAGGAAGAUGUCUCAUUCCAAGAUGCUCUGUGAGAGGUUACAGCGGAGGAAGCAGCAGGAGGGGCAGUAAAGAACAUGCGGCCCACUAGAAACUCUCCGGAGACUGUCGCCGUCCACCAGGAGAACGUGCAAGAAGAGUCGGAAGAAGUUCCUGAAGAUGAGGUGGACAAGCUUUACCAGGCAGCCAGAAGAAGACAGAAGGAAUGAACAGAAAAGGCUUCAACAGCCCUUCAAUGCUUCGGGUGUGGAGGACGCCACAAACGAGCUGAUUGCUGGUUCUGUUCUGCCAUUUGCAGAGCAUGUGGUAGGCAAGGUCACAUCGCAUCCGUCUGUUUGGGUCGUCAGAAGGUACAACCUAGAGAAGAAUUGCAUCUGAAAGGUACCAGGGACCCGAGGC